UGUGCUCGCAUCGGGCGUUUUAAUUGCACUGGCUUAGACUUACCUUGACUUAGCGCGCUAAUGGUGGUCUUAUCAAGAAGAAACCUUCGAUACCGCGCAGUCACUCGACACGCCGUGUUGCUACGAACGAGGCUUUUAGACUAAACAAGGCUAAGUAUCUUUCGAAACGAAGAUACAUUUUAUUCUAUCGAUUAUACUCUUUUUAAUUUUAGGUAUACGUGGAGGGAUUGUGAGUAAUUACGCUAAUUGCCAACUCCCGUUGCCACCGCAGGGUUGGUAAGCUCCUAACGGGACUGAAAAAGCGAAACGUCGAUCGUUCUUUUCCCACCCUAAUCCGAUUCGACCAACUACAACCAACUACCUCAAAUUUGACUUCCCGAUCUAUUUCGACACGUUCUCCACGCCAAUUUGCUGGUUCAAAUUUAACCGGAAACUCUUAUCUUAAGGUUAACCCCUUUCUAAAUCCUGCGGUCACUAAAUUUAUUCAAAACCCAGUUUUCAGAAUCAAAGUUACUUAGGUUUAUGCCAUCUGAUCAUUCCAGUGCGUUGUAAGUAACACCCAGUUUGCGUAAUUGGGUUACAAACCCGACAAAAUGUGGUUGGGAUUUCGUACGAAAUGUUGGUUGUUUCUCUUGACCAGACAGAUAAAAAACAGCUAAAUUUAGGUGGGGUCAAGGUUGUGCGACGAAUCAGAAAUUUGAUUGGGGUUUCAAAUGACAUUUUAAAGUCCGACACUCUCUAUAUGUUUCUUACCCUAAUUUUAAUAUAGGUAUGUCUUCAGUUGUGGUUAAAAUAUGACUGACCCUAUCCAAGUCAAAACAUCAACUCCACAUAUCUAUAAUAAAAAUUAUAUUAAAGUGA